AAGACCUAAGUGUGUAAGUUUUGAGUUUAAAGAAUCACCAUUUUCAAUUUAUGGAAAAUACUCCCCAAAUAGCCAUAUACUCCGUAUCUAGUAAGAAAAAACAAUUACAUUUGAAUCCUUCCGCGUGGAUUAUUAUUCUGGCCGGCAACAGAAUCAUCAGAUCUCUAAACCCUAAAGCCAAACCAGCCCGAAACCCUCCUCUCCCUUCUCCUUCUCUUUCUCCCGAAUCCCGACGACCGAUGGCGGCGCUCCCGCCUGCCGCAUCGCCGCGCUUCCCUCCCCUCUGAAUCCCACCCACGAGCCGCUCCCCGCCCGUCUCGGGGGACCUCCGCCGUCCACAGGCCCGUCGCCUGCCGCCGCCCACGAGCCCGUAGCGGGGCGCCCUCCGCUGCCCCUGCCCGAGGCCGGCGUCCUCCGCUGUCCACUCGUGCACCGCCCACGAGCUCUCUACUCUUCUGCUCUGUCACACUGACAGCGGAGAUUAGGCUUCGUGAAGUGUCAGAUUGCGUUUAAAUCUCUUGUUGCUAGCCCUAAUUUUGUUGAACGUGCUGUACAGACACAUGCAAUUGGUGCAAGAUUGAAAGAAGUCUGUCAUUUAAAUCGCAAUUUGUUGAGUUUGACUACUGUCAUCCGAGAGCUGAGGUCAUGCCGCCAAUCAUUCGUCGUGGCUUACGUAGCAAACGGGAUGCCAAGCCGUGGACUUGUGUUUGCGGUAAUGUCAAUCGACCGACACGACAUCUGAUUAUUGAUUUGACAAAAUUCAGGUGCAAGUGUGGGAAAGAGGCCUCCUCCGCCGACCUGGGCAUCCCUGACCUAAUCAGCACGCUCGCGUGACGUGCUGCAGGAUUCUUAGCGCAUAAGGUCAUGAUUGACGAGGUCAUCUCCCUGCAAUCGUAGACCCUAAACGAUCUAAGGGGUUGAGGGCCACAUCGCGUCGGGCAUGGUCAGGUUUCCUCUGGUACGCCCUCGACCUGCAGCGCGAUCUCUCAGGCUGAACUUGCUUUCGAGGCUCCUUCGCAUAGGCGACCCAAGCGUCCAUACUUUCUGGUUUCAUGGCUAUAAUCUACACACUGUUCUGCUAGAAUGGCUUAGUAUAUGGUUUGGAUUUACUUGGAUAGUUCAAUUGAACAGGAUAACCGGAUAAAUGGAUGUGCUGUUUUGUUUAGGGUGCAUUGUGUAAUGGUAUCUUGAUCUAUCUGGACACUAGAAUUGAUAUGAGAUAAUUUCACACCGAGCAUUAAGUGCCAGGCAUUAGUGCACUAAAAUGUACAGUUGGUGUCAGUUUUGAGUCUCUGAAAAAACAAGUUCCUCAGUAUCAAUCAGAAAAAUUGGAUUACUGUGUUGCAGCUUUGUCUCCCAAUUCCCAAAAGACUGUCACCUUGAUGCCAAAGUUGUUUACUGCCAUGCACAACAAAGAAAAUGUGGGCAAAUUGAAGGUUGUUUAUACAGUUUAGUAGCAAGACAAUGGCAGUACAGGCGAUGUGCAUACAUAAAUGUUGCACGUAGAGGGUAGACGUUAGUGAAGAAAUUUUAUUCAUGCUGAUGUUUGAAGAUGCAAUGUUUAGGUGUCUUUUAGUAAUCUAAGUCUUGUCUCUCAGCACUCACCGGACUUUGUUUUAGGUCACAGAAAUUUAUUAUCUUAUUGGUAAUGCUCACAUAUAUCUUGAAUGAGCAGAGAGUUAUUUAAUAGGCUGUACUUGAUACAACACAAGAGGACAUGUUGUCCUUUCAGGAUGUCUAUAUAGAAUUAUAUUGGUAACAAAGAAACCCUCCUUCUGUACAAUAUAUUUUCUGAAAAGAGGUACUUCUGUCCAAUAUAGUUUGAAGCUCCUUGAUGCUACAUUCCUUAAGGGAAAUGUAUUCCCGCUAGCAUACCAUUACAUAAGUAGAACUAUUACAUUUUUCUAUGCUAUUUACUAGCUUGACACGAACAUUGUACCUGAAGCAUGAUCACAUAUUCUCAUGCCAUAUUAGAGUCGUGUUGCUAUUCUCUUACAUAUGUUCAUGUAGUUUGCCUCUCAGAACAGUCUUUCUAGGCUCAAGUUUGCGAUGACAUAAAAUGAAUAAUCUUUUAGAAGUGGAGGAGGGCCAACUUUCCUCUAUAUCCAGUUUUGUUUAGUUGGUUUUGAAUUUUGCCCCAAUGCCGCUGUUUACCAAGCAAAUUUGUUCGGUUUUACGUUGAAUGUUUUUGGUGUAGAUCCUAGGUAAAUUGAUGGAAGCCCACUGACCACAAAAUACAUCAAUUUUGUUAAGAGGUUGGGAACCAAAAUGAGUUGGAUCAGAGUAGUUUGCCUUUGCCCUGGAAGUGCUAGAGGUCAAAUUGUUGUUGUGUCUACAUGGUACUGAUCUGUUAGGUCAAUGAUCGAAAUUCGUGAUUGAUUUGCAGAGGAUGCUAGGAAUUCUUAUACAGACAUAAAUCUUAAGUGAACGAUAAGACUAUUUACAAACUGAGUGGGCGUUCUCUAUAAACCUUUUAUUUCAACUGUUUUGGUGUAGCAUGUCUUAAUGUUCGCAAUCAAAAUUAUUCCACCUUUUCGUUCUUUUAUAUAUGUGCUUUAGGCUCAAAUUUUUAUGCCUAUUGUUGCAAUACUUCAUAUCUCAAGCCUGUCCUUGAGGCUUCAAACUGUAAUAUGCACAUGCUGUCAUCUUGAGUAUCUUCUAUACCAGUUCUAAUGCGACCGUUAAUCCUCCUUCUAUGAGAAUGAUAAUGGUAAUGUAAAGCACUGCUUUAUCAUGCCACCUUUUAGGCUAACACGACACUUUCUUUUCAUGUGUUCAUUCUGAAGUAUCAUCAUCACCUUUUGAGCAAGAUAAAAGAGUUGUAUCAUAGACCUGAACAUUACUUUCAUCUUUUCUUUUUGUUUCUGUGCAGCAGAAUUAUCAUCACUUGACAUGCCCAAGCUGUAAAAAACGUACUCCCUCCGUCCCGAAAUAAGUGACGUGGAUUUGUAUAAGAAUCUAUACAAAUCGAAGUCACUUAUUUUGGGACGGAGGGAGUAGUUUGCCCAGCAUGGGUACAUGCAGAGUACAUGAAAGGGUUUUUCAUGAAGAUAUGGAUCUGCAUACAGAUAGAAUAUGCUAAUACUCUAUGCUGUAGGCAUGAUUAAUUAUAUUCUAAUCAGUGAAAAGACAAAAUGAUUCCUUCUAUACUGCACGUACUAGAAUCAUCUUAGAUAAUCAAAAGUUCUGUGCAUACCAUUUUGACUGAACUAUACUUAAUUAUAAGUUUCGUGACCAUGAAUGAGAACAUUUUUUUUUCAAAUAGUAUUAGGGAAGAAUUUUGUGACUACAUAAUUACUGAGAAGGAAGAAGGAAGUCCUCCCGUGAUGUGAAUAAAACAGUUUGCAUCUGGAUGCCCAAAGUUCCGUCACAAGAUAUGCUUUUUCUUCUAAAAUGUUAUCGUGUUAUGACUUCCCUUUUAUAACAAAAUAGUCGAACCGAUUUCUGAAGUACUAUUAUUAAUAGCUAUUCAAAGGGAUUAUAAUUCGAUGUAAAAGUCUAUCACCAAGAAGGGAGAAUGGAAGUCCUCUAAUGACAUCUAUAAAGCAUUGGCUAGCUUGAAAUGUAAAGUUUAAUCCUAUGUACCGAUUAUAGUAUCAAAUACAAUCAACACAUGUGGCUGUAUUGGUAUGGUCUUUACAAAUGACAUUAGUAAUCAUUAGGCUAUAAAAAUUAAAUUGCAUUUAAAAUGUUCUGCCAAGGUGAUAUUAUCUUCUUUCAUAAUAUGUGAUGAGCUAUAGAAUCAUACCAUUUUCAGUCGCAUGACAUAAAAAUCUAUGAGACCAUAAAUUAUUGUUCAAACAUUUUCAGCAAACUAAGGAUGUUGCCCUCGCAUUUGUGAGGGCCACCUUGCUAGUUUACUCAAAUGACAGAUGUGCAUGAGUCUAGAACCCCUUCGUCUUUGGGCAUGUAAACUUGAGGCCUAUCACCAAAGUACCAAACGAAUCUUUCUAUUGCCCUCAUCUUCAUGCCACCAAAGUCUGUAGUUCUAUAAUGAUCAAUCUUGUUCAACAAAUCUAUCUUUUUAUUCUGAUUGAUUCUUUUAUUAUAUAGAUAAUUGCGUGGGUUUUUCUUUCACACAUCAAAUUGAGAUUGUGAAAAGGCUGAAGGCUUUAGUAAAGAAGAGAGACCCGUUAUCAGUGAAGCCUCUAUGUGCAAACACACUCUGUAAUAUGUUUCUUAACAAAUGCAAAGAUUAUUUCUCAGAGACGAAACCCAUCACAAAAUACCGGGCCUAUAUCCCGCAGGUCCAAAUGGCCUUGAUUUUGAAAGAAGAGGGUUUUAAGGAGGAGGAUGGAAAGCUGUUGAAGAUUUCAAAUGUAAGCACACUGCCCAGAUAUGACUUUGUUGGCAUCACCAGAGCCCUUGCUGAUGGCGACCCGUUGUUCUCUGCUUUCAAUUCUGGAAAGCGACUUAAAAAUCUAAAAUAGAAGCAAAUUUACAAAGCCUACCUCCGACCAAAAUAUCGUCAGAAUAGAAAGAAAAGAUUAAAAGGCCACGCGGUAUGCCUCAUUGGUGCAGGAAGGCAGAAGAGUCAAACGUACUUUUCCUUCCUUAACAGUUGGAAUAAGUUUUGCAUGCGUUAUAAUAGACGCGGAAAGAAGUAUAAAUGGGGUUUUGGGAGGGUACGGGCAACGGAUUUGAAAUGCAGCGCAAUCCGUUUCUCACGUUUCCACGAACCUGGAGACAGUUCGAGUUUGAUGUUGCAAGAAGGUACUGUGCUGAAUGAACAUAAUCUUUGGUUGAUGACUGCUUCGAAGUAUAAGGCUGCCAUUGAUAACAAUGAUGAUGCUUUGGAGGUGUCAGACAAGCCAAGUCCUGAGAGCCAGACUGACAAGAGCAAAUUGGAUGCUCAGCCAGAGCUAUUCAUCCACAUUGUCCCUGACAAGGCCGCAAACAACAAUGAUAUUUGUAUGUUCAAGCCAGAUCUUCUGAGGAACCUUGGUACCACUGCAAGGUCUGCGACGAAGGUGCUCAUGGAGGGAUUGGCUGCUGGUACUAAUGUGCCCAUGAUCGCUCGGUUUAGUAUGGGUUAUCUGGUUGCAGAGAUAGUCGUCGUGACUGCCAAGCACAACGAUGAGCAGCAGUAUGUUUGGGAAUCUCGGGCUAAUGGGUAGCAUGCCUUAAGUAGCAUGUUGUCCUGCAGAAACAAAUUAAAUUAAAUGAACAACAAAGAAGCAGGUAAAUAUUCGUAUAUUGGACAAGGAGGGGUUUAAGCGUAAGUA